CCUACGGGAGGCAGCAGUGGGGAAUAUUGCACAAUGGGCGCAAGCCUGAUGCAGCCAUGCCGCGUGUGUGAAGAAGGCCUUCGGGUUGUAAAGCACUUUCAGCGGGGAGGAAGGCGGUGAGGUUAAUAACCUCAUCGACUGACGUUACCCGCAGAAGAAGCACCGGCUAACUCCGUGCCAGCAGCCGCGGUAAUACGGAGGGUGCAAGCGUUAAUCGGAAUUACUGGGCGUAAAGCGCACGCAGGCGGUCUGUCAAGUCGGAUGUGAAAUCCCCGGGCUCAACCUGGGAACUGCAUUCGAAACUGGCAGGCUAGAGUCUUGUAGAGGGGGGUAGAAUUCCAGGUGUAGCGGUGAAAUGCGUAGAGAUCUGGAGGAAUACCGGCGGCGAAGGCGGCCCCCUGGACAAAGACUGACGCUCAGGUGCGAAAGCGUGGGGAGCAAACAGGAUUAGAUACCCUAGUAGUC
rnacentral:rRNA from 1 species